rnacentral:rRNA from 1 species
UACAGAGGGUGCAAGCGUUGCUCGGAAUCAUUGGGCGUAAAGGGCAGGUAGGUGGUCUCAUUUGUCAGAGGUGAAAGCCUUGGGCUUAACCCAAGAAGUGCCUCUGAAACGGUGGGACUAGAGUGCUGGAGAGGGUCGUAGAAUUCCCGGUGUAGCGGUGAAAUGCGUAGAGAUCGGGAGGAAUACCAGAGGCGAAGGCGGCGACCUGGACAGUGACUGACACUCAACUGCGAAAGCGUGGGGAGCAAACAGG